rnacentral:rRNA from 1 species
CUUAAAGAAAAUUAUUUUUAAGUAACAUCUGCUCAAUGUAUAUUUAUUAAUAGCCGCAGAAUUUUUACUGUGCUAAGGUAGCAUAAUCAUUAGCUCUUUAAUUAAGGGCUAGAAUGAAAGAUUUAACAUUUAAUAACUUUUUUAUAAAAAUUAAUAAAAUUUAUACUAAAUAUUAAAUAUAUUUAUACAAAAAAUAGACGACAAGACCCUAUUGAACUUUACUUUUGUUUAGCUGGGGAAGCUUUUUAAACAAUAUUUUAAUAAAAUUUAUUAAAUAAAUGACCCAAUAAAAUUUAAUACUUAAUUAAGUUACCAUAGGGAUAACAGCGUAAUUUUAUUUUAAAUUCUUAUUCAAAAAAAAGAUUACGACCUCGAUGUUGAAUUAUAUCCCUAAUAAAUGCAAUAAUUUACCAAAGGGGGUCUUGUUCGACCCUUAAACUUUACA